rnacentral:rRNA from 1 species
AUUGAACGCUGGCGGCAUGCCUUACACAUGCAAGUCGAACGGUAACAGGUUAAGCUGACGAGUGGCGAACGGGUGAGUAAUGUAUCGGAACGUGCCCAGUCGUGGGGGAUAACUACUCGAAAGAGUGGCUAAUACCGCAUACGACCUGAGGGUGAAAGCGGGGGACCGUAAGGCCUCGCGCGAUUGGAGCGGCCGAUAUAAGAUUAGCUAGUUGGUGGGGUAAAAGCCCACCAAGGCGAAGACCUGCAGCUGGUCUGAGAGGACGACCAGCCACACUGGGACUGAGACACAGCCCAGACUCCUACGGGAGGCAGCAGUGGGGAAUUUUGGACAAUGGACGCAAGUCUGAUCCAGCCAUGCCGCGUGCGGGAAGCAGGCCUUCGGGUUGUAAACCGCUUUUGUCAGGGAAGAAACGAGUUUCUCUAAUACAGAGACUUAAUGACGGUACCUGAAGAAUAAGCACCGGCUAACUACGUGCCAGCAGCCGCCGUAACAC